rnacentral:rRNA from 1 species
GCCUACGGGGGGCAGCAGUGGGGGAUAUUGGACAAUGGGGGGAACCCUGAUCCGGCGACGCCGCGUGAGUGAAGAAGUAUUUCGGUAUGUAAAGCUCUGUCAGCAGGGAAGAAAGAAAUGACGGUACCUGACCAAGAAGCCCCGGCUAACUACGUGCCAGCAGCCGCGGUAAUACGUAGGGGGCAAGCGUUAUCCGGAAUUACUGGGUGGAAAGGGAGCGUAGACGGUUAAGUAAGUCUGGAGUGAAAGGCCGGGGCUCAACCCCGGGACUGCUCUGGAAACUAUUUAACUUGAGUGCAGGAGAG